CAGCAUGGUCUUAGCUUGCUAAGGCCGAUGGCGACCGGCGCACGGGUGAGUAACACGUAUCCAACCUUCCGUACACUCAGGGAUAGCCUUUCGAAAGAAAGAUUAAUACCUGAUGGUAUGAUGGGAUUGCAUGAUAGCAUCAUUAAAGAUUCAUCGGUGGGGAUGCGUUCCAUUAGGUUGUUGGCGGGGUAACGGCCCACCUAGUCGACGAUGGAUAGGGGUUCUGAGAGGAAGGUCCCCACAUUGGAACUGAGACACGGUCCAAACUCC
rnacentral:rRNA from 1 species